GAAAGAAAAGAUUAGGCUCCAAUUUCUAAAACCCUAGCUUCCUCUCCCCCACUCUCGCUCUCGACGCUCAUUUCACUUCUUCUUGCUUCUGUUCUUACUGAAACAAACCCUAGGUCGCAUCUCAGUUGAGGGAUUCCAAAUUCUGGCACAAUGUCGAUGUCUAAAAGUUCGAAGAUGCUCCAGUAUAUUAAUUACCGGAUGAGGGUCACCAUCCAAGAUGGUCGCCAAUUGGUUGGCAAGUUCAUGGCCUUCGAUCGGCACAUGAACCUCGUCCUCGGCGACUGCGAGGAGUUCCGUAAGCUUCCUCCAGCUAAGGGUAAAAAGACUAAUGAGGAACGCGACGAGCGUCGUACCCUUGGGCUUGUUCUUCUUCGCGGCGAGGAGGUCAUUUCCAUGACUGUUGAGGGUCCACCACCUGCUGAAGAGUCCCGUGCUAAGGCCGUCAAUGCUGCGGCUAUGGCUGGGCCUGGUAUUGGUCGUGCCGCUGGGAGGGGUAUCCCGACUGCUCCUCUUGUUCAGGCUCAGCCUGGUCUUGCUGGGCCAGUUCGUGGAGUAGGUGGACCCGCUCCGGGGAUGAUGCAGCCUCAAAUCUCUCGCCCGCCAGUACCACAGCUGUCCGCUCCGCCCAUGACAUAUCCAGCUGCCCCCGUUAUCCGUCCACCUGGUCAGAUGCCGAUGUUUCCAGGACAAGCUCCACCUCCGGUUGGGAGAGGAAUGCCUCCGCCGGGGCCUCCGCCACAGUUCUCUGCAGCAAGACCAGGGGGAGCUCCGCCACAACCAUUCCCAGUUCCUCCUCAAUUUGCUCAGAGACCCAUGGGACCUCCACCAACCGGGCAGGUGAUGAGGGGACCGCCACCCCCACCCAGACCUGGAAUGCCAGCGCCCCCGCCUCGACCGGGGAUGCCUCCUCCACCCGGUGGGGCAGUUCCUAUUUACGGACCACCUCGUCCUGGCAUGCCGCCUCCACCCGCCCCACAAAAUCAGCAGCAAAAUCAACAGCAAUAGUGUUGGAGUUACGAUACUGUUGUUACUGGUUCUCUUGCACCUCUAUAGUUCCUCAUGGCAGACAUAUUCAUGUGAUGAUAUGUGGAGGCCUUCAUUGGAUAUUAUCUUGUGUUGUUUCGACCUGAGUUCACUUGCCAGGGGCUACAGCUUGGUUCAUCUCCCUGGGUGCCAUCUCUCUUUGAAUUUGUGUUGAUGCUGUUGUAGGAUUCGACAAUGUAGUGUUAUUAGCAAACUGUGUCCUGAUUUUGCAAUUUAACCGUCAGAUAUACUUCGAGUGCAGGAUUUUAAUGUGAAUUAUCAAUUCCCGAUCGACAUGUUUCUAGGUAGAUUCGCUUGUCCCCUUUACUUUUUAAUGUGUUCGGCAUUAUAUAGUGAUUACUUAAGGACCUAAAGUCUGAAUAGUACGAACUAAAGGUUCUGUAUUUUGGAACCUCUCUUCUGUUAAAAGGAGAUAAUCUAUAUAUUUUUGUGCGUGCA